rnacentral:rRNA from 1 species
CAACUUUCAACAACGGAUCUCUUGGCUCUCGCAUCGAUGAAGAACGCAGCGAAAUGCGAUAAGUAAUGUGAAUUGCAGAAUUCAGUGAAUCAUCGAAUCUUUGAACGCACCUUGCGCUCUUGGGCCAUUCCUAAGAGCAUGCCUGUUUGAGUGUCGUGA